UAGGUAGUUUCAUGUUGUUGGGAGGUCGACAAUGUUCGACAGCAAGAAACUGCCUUGA
rnacentral:pre_miRNA from 1 species